CAAAAUGCUAUGGUCUUUUAUAUGCUCACACACAUAAUGGUUCUGAGCAUGAGAAACGGGUGCCAGAUUGCCCAGGUGGCAUCGCAACAGCAUGCUGCUUACUCACUGAUUAACCUUGGGCAAGUUAUUUCACCUGCCUGCGCCUCAAGACCCUGUGUUUCAAUGGGGAGGAUGUGGGUACUUAUUCCUAAGGCUGUGAGGAGGAAUAACUGAGUUAGUAUACAUCAAACACUUAGGUGCCUGGCACAGAGGGAGCUCUGUGUAGGUGUUUCCUAUUAUUAUGUUUUAAUGGAUGAUCUUGUGUAUUAUAAGAAAUCAAUCUGGAAGGUGAGAUACAACUGCAGUCUGAGAAAGUAGAGACUUUUCAAAGAUUUUUUACUGUGUCAUGAAUUUUCAGAGACCACAAUGAGGGAGCUGAAGCCCAAAGAAGUGAGGUUACUUCAGCAUCACACAGCAGAUCCAGGACCCUGUGUGAUUUGAAAAGGCCAAGAUAACUUGUCUGCAUUUCAAGAACAACCUACCAGAGACCUUACCUGUCACCUUGGCUCUCCCACCCAAAGGAGAUGGCUCUAAGGGUAAGGAAUUCUGUCUUAAGUAAAAGGGAAGGAAAACACUCCGAAAGAUGCAGAGUUUUUAUAGAGGCAGGUGGUAGGGGCAUCACGUUUACAGUGACUUUCAACUUUUGACUCUAGAAAUCAUUAUUCUAAAGAUUAUGACAAGUCCAAAACGUCACAGAAUCCUGAUUUUUAUACACUUGCAUUAAUCACUGCUUACUUCCAUGAUGUAAACCAAAACUGCAGCUUUAGAACAUAGAGAAUCAGAAUAAAUUCUGAUAGAAAAGCCAGAUACUGCUUCCACAUAUGCAAGUAUAUGCUAAUUGCUUUUAGCGAAUGGAUCUAAAUAGGAAUCAACAUUAUUCCAUCUUAAUGAUUAUGUUUUUGAUUGGUACACAUAAAUGUUAAAGUGGGAAAAUAUUUAGAGGAAGUUACCUAAACUAAAUCACUUUAAUUUUCCGUAACAUAAUUACAUUACAUUUCACCUAAUAAAAUGGUUUUGGACCUAGAAUUUGUACUGCUACAUCAAUAUCAGAUGACUUUCAACAGAAAUAGAUGUACGUUUGCUUUGUAACAACAAAUUAUAGUUUUAAAUUAUUUGUAUGUUUCAGGGUGAAUAAAAUGAGAGCUAUCCCACAACCGCUUUGGUUAUGAAAUUCGACCACUGUAACUUUUUUUAAAGAAAACUUUAUGCACUUUGGGAGGCCAACGAGUGUGGAUCAC